UAUUGCCUGCCCAAUGCAACAGCGUGAAUGGCCGCAGUAUCUUGACUGUGCUAAGGUAGNNNNNUUAGUUGCCUCGUAAUUGGAGGAUUGUUUGAAUGGUUUGACUUGAGAGUUAUAUUAGAUGGGGGUUGUAUUUGAAAUUGGGUCCUUGGUGCAGAUCCCAGGGGGUUUAUAUAAGACGGAAAGACCCCGAGAUCUUAAUACUGUGGUAUUUGUUUGGGGCAAAAGUGUAUGUUUUAUGUACUUUUGGAUCCUUUAGGAAUAAGGUUUAAGUUACCUCGGGGAUAACUAGGUAAAAGAUAAAGAGAGAUCAGAUCGAUUUAUCUAAUUGCCAUCUCGAUGUUGACUUAAGGAUAGCAGAGGGGUGUAGGAGUUUCUCUGUUUGGUCUGUUCGACCGUAGAUCCUUUCAUGAGUUGAGUUAAGACCGGA
rnacentral:rRNA from 1 species